rnacentral:rRNA from 1 species
CAGCCGCCGCGGUAACACGUAGGUGGCAAGCGUUGUCCGGAAUUAUUGGGCGUAAAGGACUCGCAGGCGGUUUCUUAAGUCUGAUGUGAAAGCCCCCGGCUCAACCGGGGAGGGUCAUUGGAAACUGGGAAACUUGAGUGCAGAAGAGGAGAGUGGAAUUCCACGUGUAGCGGUGAAAUGCGUAGAGAUGUGGAGGAACACCAGUGGCGAAGGCGACUCUCUGGUCUGUAACUGACGCUGAGGAGCGAAAGCGUGGGGAGCGAACAGGAUUAGAUACCCGUGUAGUCCCUGUCUCUUAUAC